UUUGCAGAUUAGAGUUAUAUAUGUUUGUUAUUGUGGUAUCAUAGUUCUACAAGAAGUUAUGUGCUAAACUGGAAAACAUUAUUUGGAGAGCGAGAGAAGGAAUGCCAAAGUCAGAGCUUCUCAGAACAAUCACGUUUUGAUCCCCACGAUAUAAGAUUAGAGACAAAGAUGGUCUCCUUUUCAAGUUGGUUUAACAAACAGAUCAAGUUUCUCUCAUGAAAAAGAAUUGAGAUGAAGAGAAGGCUAAAAGUUAAAACCAGCUGAUGCAUACAAGAGCAACAUCAUGUUUACCCAAAGGUCUCUAAGACUUCAGCCCUAUCAUUCUAAACCGAGAAGUUGGUCAUAUUUAUACCAUUUAGCAAUGAUUCUUUUUAUACACAUUUUCUUCUUCUUUUGUACUUAGCCUUAUGAGGGAAUUACUUCUUAUCAUUAUAGUGGACUGGAAUUCUUCUUAUUCACUAUGGUUCUCUUUCUUUUCUUCUUAGAACUUUACUGUAAUGAAUUCCUUGUUGUGCUGAAUUCCUUUACUGAAUUUACUGUGCUAAAAUUCCUUUCUUUUCUUCUUAGAACUUUACUGUAAUGAAUUCCUUGCUUUUCCU